CCCAUUUACGCAGUCGAAUUUCGGUCCUGUGUGCGGCUGGCUUGCGCGUGCUUCGAUCAAACGCCCGGAACGCUCUCGUCGCGCUCGAAAACACCAUGUCCGAGUCGAGCAACACAGCCCCGAGUCCGACAGUGACCGGCCCCGAAACCGCGGCGGCUCCCCCGGAGACCCAGGUGAUUCAGGAACAUGAAUCUUCCGUUAAGAAAAUCGAGGUCAUGACGAAGAACUGUGGCAAACUUACUGUUCACGU